AGUCGCCACGGUAAUACGUAGGGUGCGAGCGUUAAUCGGAAUUACUGGGCGUAAAGCGUGCGCAGGCGGUUGUGUAAGACAGGUGUGAAAUCCCCGGGCUUAACCUGGGAACUGCGCUUGUGACUGCACAGCUAGAGUAUGGCAGAGGGGGGUGGAAUUCCACGUGUAGCAGUGAAAUGCGUAGAGAUGUGGAGGAACACCGAUGGCGAAGGCAGCCCCCUGGGCCAAUACUGACGCUCAUGCACGAAAGCGUGGGGAGCAAACAGGAUUAGAUACCCGAGUAGUCCCUGUCUCUUAUACA
rnacentral:rRNA from 1 species